CCCGUUUCUACUAAAAAUACAAAAAUUAGUCGGGCGUGGUCGCUGGUGCCUGUAAACCCAGCUACUCAGGAGGUUGAGGCAGGAGAAUCGCUUGAACCUGGGAGGUGGAGGUUGCAGUGAGCCGAGAUUGCACCAAGUGUGAAUCAACCGUCCACUUUCUGCUAUUCUUUGUUAAAUAAAUACUUUUAAAUCCUUACUGGAUACCAAUGCUCUCCAACAGGACCUCCUACCACUACCCCUCUUUUGUCCUAUAUUUUGCCACAUAGGUAAAAUAUAAAAAUAGGUAAUAUAGAAAAUAAAACACAUACUGCUGUAUUGUCAGGUAGUGAUAGGAUUUAUCACUACCUGACAAUACAGUAUGUGUUUGUUUUAUAUAUUUAGGGUGUACAGCGUGUGUUUUGAUACACAUGUACCCAGUGAAAUAAUAAUUAUGACAGUUUUUUUUUUUUUUUUUGAGACGGAGUUUUGCUGUCGUUGCCCAGGCUGAAGUGCAAUGGUGUGCUCUCGGCUCACUGCAGCCUCUGCCUCCCGGGUUCAAGCGAUUCUCAUGCCUCAGCCUCCCGAAUAGCUGGGAUUACAGGCAUGCACCACCAUGCUUGGCUAAUUUUUUUGUAUUUUUAGUAGAGACGGGGUUUCUCCAUGUUGGUCAGGCUGAUCUCGAACUCCUGACCUCAGGUGAUUCGCCCACCUUGGCCUCCCAAAGUGCUGGGAUUACAGGCAUUUUCACCACACAUGGCCAAUUAUGAGAGUUAAGCAAUUAACCUAUCCAUUGCCUUCCAUAAUUAACUGUGUGUGUAGUGAGAGUAUCUAAAAUGUACUUUCUUGGCAAAUUUUCAAUAUACUAUGCAAAAUUAUUAACACAAAGUAUACGUUACUUUUUGUUUGUUUGUUUUGGCUGGCUGCGGUGGCUUAUGCCUAAAAACAUGCCCUUUGAGGAGGCUGAGGUGGGAGGAUCACUUGAGGCCAGGAGCUAGAGACCAGCCUAGGCAACAUGUCAAAACCCAGUCUCUCAAAAAAAAAAAAAAAAAAAGAAAAAAAGGAAAAAAAAGAGAAAAGGAAAAAAAAGAAAAGAACAACAACAAAAAUUAGCCAGAUGUGGUGCAUCAUGCCAGGGUCCCAGAUACUUGGGAGGCCAAGGCGGGAGGAUCAUUCGAGCCUGGGAAAUCGAGGCUGCAGUGAGCCAUGAUCACCCCACUGCACUCCAGCUUGGGUAACAGAGCAAGACCCUGUCUCAAAAAAAAAAAAGCCUUGCUUUCCUGACCCAUUGAUCUGUUUGUUUUUUGUCCUCUGUCAGCAGCAUAUCAGCCUGAUGACAUCAGGGACUGUAUCUGUCCCCAUCAUUGCUGUAAGUUCCCCACUGCUGAAUAAAUACGUUUAUUUAUUCAGUGGUGAAUAAUCUAAGCCUAGAGUCAAUGUACUAGUUAUUAGAGCAGAUGCCAUUAUCGCCUCUUGGAUCUCAUUCCCAGGGUGUUCAUUGGGCAUCUGUCAAAAAAACAAAAUUACAACACAUUUAGUUUAAAGAUCUUAAUUGAUUUUAUUUGCAAUUCUACAAUCGGGCAACACUUCAUUUCACAAAAUGAAACUAAUUUUCCCAUGAGCUGAGCAGGUAGGUUGGUUUUACAGGCAGAAAAAGGGCCAAGUAAAGCACAAACAGAAAAUAAAACGUGGAGGUCAGGUGCAGUGGCUCAUGCCUGUAAUCCCAGCACUUUGGAGGCCGAGGCAGGCAGAUCACCCGAGGUCAGGAGUUCGAGACCAGCUUGACCAACAUGAUAAUGAUGAUGAAACCCUAUCUCUACUAACAAUACAAAAAUAUUAGCCGGGCGCGGUGGCAGGUGCCUGUAAUCCCAGCUACUCAGGAGGUUGAGGCAGGAGAAUCACUUGAACCAGGGAGGCGGAGGUUGCAGUGAGCGAAGAUCACACCAUUGCACUCCAGCCUGGGAGAGCAGAGCAAAACUCCGACUCAAAAAAAAAGAAAAAAAGAAAAGAAAACUUGGAUUGGUCAUUUUAAAGUUUCCUUUUGGAGUCUGAGUCUUGCUCUGUCACCCAGGCUGGAGUGCAGUGGUGCGAUCAUAGCUCACUGCAACCUCAACUUCCUGGGAUCAAGCAAUCUUCCCACCUCAGCCUCCUGAGGAGCUAGGAUCACAGGUGUGUGCCACCAUGCCCAGCUAAUUUUUUUUUUCCAGAGACAGGGUCUUGCCUUGUUGGCCAGGCUGGAUUUGAACUCCUGAACUCAAGCAAUCCUCCUGCCUUGGCCUCCCAAAGUGCUGGGAUUACAGGCAUGAGCCACCACCGCACUCAGCCCAAAGUUACUUUUCUUGUAAAGGUUAAAGCAGAGAGGACAUCCUUAUCAUGAUGGCUAAAACUGACCUGGUGGGAGACUUGGCUAUCCCAUCUCUCUCUCUCCUGAUUUUGUAGAAGGUCAGAUAAACAACUUAGUUUCUUUUUGAUCACGUAAAACUUUAGCAUGAGUGACUCCAUUUUGGUUUAGUUUGUUGGGCCUGGUGUAGGAAGUCAGUCCAAAGUAAUAGCCUCCUAUAAGUUUUGUAUAACACAUCCUGUGUCCAGAUUGGUGGGUUCUUGGUCUUGCUGACUCCAAGAAUGAAGCCACAGACCCUCCGGUGAGUGUUACGGUUCUGAAAGAUGGUGUGUCCAGAGUUUGUUCCUUCUGAUAUUCAGACAUGUCUAGAGUUUCUUGCUUCUGGUGGGCUUUUGGUCUCGCUGACUUCAGGAGUGAAACUGCAGACCUUUGCGGUGAGUGUUACAGCUCAUAAAGGCAGUGCGCACCCAAAGAGUGAGCAGCAGCAGGAUUUACUGGGAAGAGUGAAAGAACAAAGUUUCCACAGCAUGGAAGGGGACCCAAGCACGUUGCCGCUGCUGGCUGCGGUGUCCUGCUUUUAUUCCCUUAUUUGGCCCCACCUACAUCCUGCUGAUUGGUCCAUUUUACAGAGAGCUGAUUGGUCCACUUUACAGAGUGCUGAUUGGUCCGUUUUACAGAGUGCUGAUUGGUCCGUUUUGACAGAGUGCUGAUUGGUGCAUUUACAAACCUUUAGCUAGACACAGAGUGCUGAUUGGUGCAUUUACAAUCCUUUAGCUAGACAGGAAAGUUCUCUAAGUCCCCUACGCGAUUAGUUAGACACAGAGCGCUGAUUGGUGCAUUUACAAACCUUUAGCUAGACACAGAGCGCUGAUUGGUGCAUUUGCAAUCCUUUAGCUAGACAGAAAAGUUCUCCAAGUCCCUACUCAACCAAGAAGCCCAGCCGGCUUCACCUCUCAAUCACCCCUCUAAACAGAACACCCCAACUGCUGUUGGGAAUUUGGCCGAUGACCACUCUAGCUACUUCCUGCUGGAAGAAGGGGCCCUGCAAUUGUAGUGUCCUCCAGAGGGGAACUCUUUAGGCCAGUGGAAGGGCCAGUGGGUCGGUCCAGGGGUCCUCAGUAGAAGUUGUUAGUUGAACUCAUUUGGGGUUCCAUUUUUAAGACCAUCUGUAGCUUGAUGGCCUCGAUUCUAGAAGAAACAAAUUUGACAAGAAGGUUAAAAAUGCAGGGCCCAAAGGUGAGUAAGAGCAAGAUGGCUGCCACAGGACCUAGGGGAGAAGCCAUGUUGCCCAACUCCAGAGGUUGGUAUUAGAGUUCGAAAGGCAUUGUCUGAUUUCAGAAGCCUUUUCCUGUAAAUGCCAGGUGGCAUCUCGUGCUAUCCCUGACUGUUUAGUGUAAAAACAACACUCUUCCCCUAAGAAGGUGCAGAGUCCUCCUUUCUCAGCAGUGAGGAGGUCUAGGCCUCAGUGGUUUUGGAGAGUUGCUGCUGCCAAAGAGUAUAUUUGGGAUUGUAGAGUAAGGAUAGAUUUUGUUAUUUCUUACAAACUGUCUGAGAAAUCCUUUGAAGGUGUAUGGUAGUAGAAUAAUGAAGUGGAUAAACUGGCUAU
rnacentral:lncRNA from 1 species